GACGAACGCUGGCGGCGUGCUUAACACAUGCAAGUCGAACGGAAAGGCCCCUUUGGGGGUACUCGAGUGGCGAACGGGUGAGUAACACGUGAGUAACCUGCCCUUGACUUCGGGAUAACUUCAGGAAACUGGGGCUAAUACCGGAUAGGAAUCCUUGCUGCAUGGUGGGGGUUGGAAAGCUUCGGCGGUUUUGGAUGGACUCGCGGCGUAUCAGCUUGUUGGUGGGGUAGUGGCUUACCAAGGCUUUGACGGGUAGCCGGCCUGAGAGGGCGACCGGCCACAUUGGGACUGAGAUACGGCCCAGACUCCUACGGGAGGCAGCAGUGGGGAAUAUUGCACAAUGGGCGGGAGCCUGAUGCAGCAACGCCGCGUGCGGGAUGACGGCCUUCGGGUUGUAAACCGCUUUCAGCAGGGGCGAAGCUUGUGGUGACGGUACCUGCAGAAGAAGCACCGGCUAACUACGUG
rnacentral:rRNA from 1 species